AGCUCAAAGUACUGCUGUGACACAGGGAAUCAUGGGAGUGAGGAUUUUUUGCUAGUGUUGGACUGCUGUGAUUUAUCUGUGUUAAAAGUCGAGGAGGUGGAUGUUGCUGCUGUGCCAGGUCUGGAAAAAUUUACAAGGUCUCCUGAGCUCACGGUUGUUUCUGAGGAGUUCAGGAAUCAGAUUGUACGUGAACUUGUGACUUUGCCUGCAAAUCGUUGGAGGGAGCAGUUAGACUAUUACGCUCGCUGCAGCCAGGCUCCUGGCUGUGGGGAACUCCUCUUUGACACUGACACUUGGAGCUUGCAGAUAAGGAAGACAGGGGCUCAGACAGCUACUGACUUUCCUCAUGCUAUCAGGAUAUGGUACAAAACUAAACCUGAAGGGCGAUCGGUUACAUGGACCUCAGACCAGAGUGGCAGGUAAGAAAAUAAAAUGACUGGAAGCUUCUAGAUAAAUCUGUAUCUCAAGUGAGAAAGAGAAUGACUUUUUUUGAAUUUGAUCUUCACGUCACUUACUGUAUGCAAAGCUUUCAAGUAUAUUUAAAACAUAAAUUUAUUAUGUUAGCUUUCAAUAAAUUUCUUUUUUUAAAUUAGACAAAUAUAAGAAAAUCUGUAAAUUGGUACCUUUUCUUUUAAGUUCCAUUAGUGGCUUCCCCAUUUCCCACCUGUACUGUAUCCCAGCUGAGAAUAAAACUUGUAUCAAAA
rnacentral:lncRNA from 1 species